CAUAUUUUUUGAUUAUACAUUGUUAGGAAUCCUUUCUAUUGUGUCCAAAAACAUUAAGAGGAGCACGGUGAUUGUUUUAUUUGUUGGUGUUGCUUGACAUUCCCUUGGCUUCAAGCACUAGUCCCCUACAUCUUUCAUCUCUAGAGUUGAUGUUUUUAAAGUGCAAAGUUGUAUCUAGAUUUUGUGACGUUUUGUGGUUGUUUGACAAUGAGACAAGGGUAGACUCUAUGCAUGUCAAGUUUGUCUAUUGAA